GGGCCUCUAGCUCAACUGGCAGAGCAACUGACUCUUAAUCAGUGGGUUCCGAGUUCGAGUCUCGGGAGGCUCA
rnacentral:tRNA from 2 species